rnacentral:rRNA from 1 species
GUGCCUUCGGGAACUGUGAGACAGGUGCUGCAUGGCUGUCGUCAGCUCGUGUUGUGAAAUGUUGGGUUAAGUCCCGCAACGAGCGCAACCCUUAUCCUUUGUUGCCAGCGAUUAGGUCGGGAACUCAAAGGAGACUGCCAGUGAUAAACUGGAGGAAGGUGGGGAUGACGUCAAGUCAUCAUGGCCCUUACGACCAGGGCUACACACGUGCUACAAUGGCGCAUACAAAGAGAAGCGACCUCGCGAGAGCAAGCGGACCUCAUAAAGUGCGUCGUAGUCCGGAUUGGAGUCUGCAACUCGACUCCAUGAAGUCGGAAUCGCUAGUAAUCGUGGAUCAGAAUGCCACGGUGAAUACGUUCCCGGGCCUUGUACACACCGCCCGUCACACCAUGGGAGUGGGUUGCAAAAGAAGUAGGUAGCUUAACCUUCGGGAGGGCGCUUACCACUUUGUGAUUCAUGACUGGGGUGAAGUCGUAACAAGGUAACCGUAGGGGAACCUGCGGUUGGAUCACCUCCUUACCUUAAAG